AGAGUUUGAUCAUGGCUCAGAACGUACGCUGGCGGCACGCCUAACACAUGCAAGUCGAACGAAGUAGCAAUACUUAGUGGCAGACGGGUGAGUAACAUGUAGGUAUCUGCCCUUUGGCCUGGAAUAACACGAGGAAACUUGUGCUAAUACUGGAUAAGUCUUUACGGAGAAAGCUUUAUGCACCAUUGGAUGAGCCUGCACUUGAUUAGUUUGUUGGUAGGGUAAUGGCCUACCAAGACUGUGAUCAAUAGCUGAUUUGAGAGGAUGAUCAGCCACAUUGGGACUGAGACACGGCCCAAACUCCUACGGGAGGCAGCAGUGGGGAAUCUUGCACAAUGGAGGAAACUCUGAUGCAGCGAUGCCGCGUGAGUGAAGAAGGCCCUUGGGUUGUAAAGCUCUUUCGUCGGGGAAGAAAAUGACUGUACCCGAAUAAGAAGGUCCGGCUAACUUCGUGCCAGCAGCCGCGGUAAUACGAAGGGACCUAGCGUAGUUCGGAAUUACUGGGCUUAAAGAGUUCGUAGGUGGUUGAAAAAGUUGGUGGUGAAAUCCCAGAGCUUAACUCUGGAACUGCCAUCAAAACUUUUCAGCUAGAGUAUGAUAGAGGAAAGCAGAAUUUCUAGUGUAGAGGUGAAAUUCGUAGAUAUUAGAAAGAAUACCAAUUGCGAAGGCAGCUUUCUGGAUCAUUACUGACACUGAGGAACGAAAGCAUGGGUAGCGAAGAGGAUUAGAUACCCUCGUAGUCCAUGCCGUAAACGAUGUGUGUUAGACGUUGGAAAUUUAUUUUCAGUGUCGCAGCGAAAGCGAUAAACACACCGCCUGGGGAGUACGACCGCAAGGUUAAAACUCAAAUGAAUUGACGGGGACCCGCACAAGUAGUGGAGCAUGUGGUUUAAUUCGAAGAUACGCGCAGAACCUUACCAACACUUGACAUGUUCGUCGCGACUCUAAGAGAUUAGAGUUUUCGGUUCGGCCGGACGAAACACAGGUGCUGCAUGGCUGUCGUCAGCUCGUGUCGUGAGAUGUUGGGUUAAGUCCCGCAACGAGCGCAACCCUCACUUUUAGUUGCCAUCAUUAAGUUGGGCACUCUGAAAGAACUGCCAGUGAUAAGCUGGAGGAAGGUGGGGAUGACGUCAAGUCCUCAUGGCCCUUACGUGUUGGGCUACACACGUGCUACAAUGGUAUCUACAACAGGAAGCAAGACUGCGAAGUUAAGCAAAUCCUUAAAAGAUACCUCAGUUCGGAUUGCACUCUGCAACUCGAGUGCAUGAAGCUGGAAUUACUAGUAAUCGUGGAUCAGCGUGCCACGGUGAAUGCGUUCCCGGGUCUUGUACACACCGCCCGUCACACCAUGGGAGUUGGUUCUACCUUAAGGCAAGGUUUCAAACCCUUGACCACGGUAUAGUCAGCGACUGGGGUGAAGUCAUAACAAGGUAGCCGUA
rnacentral:rRNA from 1 species